rnacentral:rRNA from 1 species
CCUACGGAGGCAGCAGUGAGGAAUAUUUGUCAAUGGGCGCUAGCCUGAACCAGCCAAGUAGCGUGAAGGAUGACUGCCCUAUGGGUUGUAAACUUCUUUUAUAUGGGAAUAAAGUGCAGUAUGUAUACUGCUUUGCAUGUACCUUAUGAAUAAGGAUCGGCUAAAUCCGUGCCAGGAGCCGCGGUAAUACGGAGGAUCCGAGCGUUAUCCGGAUUUAUUGGGGUUAAAGGGAGCGUAGGCGGGUUGUUAAGUCAGAUGUGAAAGUUUGCGGCUCAACCGUAAAAUUGCAGUUGAUACUGGCAGCCUAGAGUACAGUAGAGGUAGGCGGAAUUCGUGGUGUAGCGGUGAAAUGCUUAGAUAGCACGAAGAACUCCGAUUGCGAAGGCAGCCUGCUGGACUGUAACUGACGCUGAGGCUCGAAAGUGUGGGUAUCAAACAGGAUUAGAUACCCUUGUAGUC